rnacentral:rRNA from 1 species
GACCCCGCACAAGCGGUGGAUCAUGUUGUUUAAUUCGAAGAUACGCGAAAAACCUUACCAGGUCUUGACAUCCCUUGCAAUGCUGUAGAGAUACAGUGGAGGUUAUCAAGGAGACAGGUGGUGCAUGGUUGUCGUCAGCUCGUGUCGUGAGAUGUUGGUUAAGUCCCGCAACGAGCGCAACCCUUAUUGCUAGUUGCCAUCAUUUAGUUGGGGACUCUAGCGAGACUGCCAGUGAUAAACUGGAGGAAGGUGGGGAUGACGUCAAAUCAUCAUGCCCCUUAUGACCUGGGCUACACACGUGCUACAAUGGCGAUGACAGUGGGCAGCGACCCCGCAAGGGUGAGCUAA